ACGCUAGCUACAGGCUUAACACAUGCAAGUCGAGGGGCAGCAUGGUCUUAGCUUGCUAAGGCCGAUGGCGACCGGCGCACGGGUGAGUAACACGUAUCCAACCUGCCGUCUACUCUUGGACAGCCUUCUGAAAGGAAGAUUAAUACAAGAUGGCAUCAUGAGUCCACAUGUUCACAUGAUUAAAGGUAUUCCGGUAGACGAUGGGGAUGCGUUCCAUUAGAUAGUAGGCGGGGUAACGGCCCACCUAGUCUUCGAUGGAUAGGGGUUCUGAGAGGAAGGUCCCCCACAUUGGAACUGAGACACGGUCCAAACUCCUACGGGAGGCAGCAGUGAGGAAUAUUGGUCAAUGGGCGAGAGCCUGAACCAGCCAAGUAGCGUGAAGGAUGACUGCCCCAUGGGUUGUAAACUUCUUUUAUAAAGGAAUAAAGUCGGGUAUGCAUACCCGUUUGCAUGUACUUUAUGAAUAAGGAUCGGCUAACUCCGUGCCAGCAGCCGCGGUAAUACGGAGGAUCCGAGCGUUAUCCGGAUUUAUUGGGUUUAAAGGGAGCGUAGAUGGAUGUUUAAGUCAGUUGUGAAAGUUUGCGGCUCAACCGUAAAAUUGCAGUUGAUACUGGAUAUCUUGAGUGCAGUUGAGGCAGGCGGAAUUCGUGGUGUAGCGGUGAAAUGCUUAGAUAUCACGAAGAACUCCGAUUGCGAAGGCAGCCUGCUAAGCUGCAACUGACAUUGAGGCUCGAAAGUGUGGGUAUCAAACAGGAUUAGAUACCCUGGUAGUCCACACGGUAAACGAUGAAUACUCGCUGUUUGCGAUAUACGGCAAGCGGCCAAGCGAAAGCGUUAAGUAUUCCACCUGGGGAGUACGCCGGCAACGGUGAAACUCAAAGGAAUUGACGGGGGCCCGCACAAGCGGAGGAACAUGUGGUUUAAUUCGAUGAUACGCGAGGAACCUUACCCGGGCUUAAAUUGCAGAUGAAUUACGGUGAAAGCCGUAAGCCGCAAGGCAUCUGUGAAGGUGCUGCAUGGUUGUCGUCAGCUCGUGCCGUGAGGUGUCGGCUUAAGUGCCAUAACGAGCGCAACCCUUGUUGUCAGUUACUAACAGGUUCCGCUGAGGACUCUGACAAGACUGCCAUCGUAAGAUGUGAGGAAGGUGGGGAUGACGUCAAAUCAGCACGGCCCUUACGUCCGGGGCUACACACGUGUUACAAUGGGGGGUACAGAGGGCCGCUACCACGCGAGUGGAUGCCAAUCCCAAAAACCUCUCUCAGUUCGGACUGGAGUCUGCAACCCGACUCCACGAAGCUGGAUUCGCUAGUAAUCGCGCAUCAGCCACGGCGCGGUGAAUACGUUCCCGGGCCUUGUACACACCGCCCGUCAAGCCAUGGGAGCCGGGGGUACCUGAAGUGCGUAACCGCGAGGAGCGCCCUAGGGUAAAACUGGUGACU
rnacentral:rRNA from 1 species